CUACGGGAGGCUCCAGUGAGGAAUAUUGCACAAUGGGGGGAACCCUGAUGCAGCAACGCCGCGUGGAGGAUGACGCAUUUCGGUGUGUAAACUCCUUUUAUAUGUCAAGAAAAUGACGGUAGCAUAUGAAUAAGCACCGGCUAACUCCGUGCCAGCAGCCGCGGUAAUACGGAGGGUGCAAGCGUUACUCGGAAUCACUGGGCGUAAAGGACGCGUAGGCGGGUUGGAAAGUCAGGUGUGAAAUCCUACAGCUUAACUGUAGAACUGCUCUUGAAACUUCUAAUCUAGAGUAUGGGAGGGGGAGAUGGAACUAGUGGUGUAGGGGUAAAAUCCGUAGAUAUCACUAGGAAUACCUAAAGCGAAGGCGAUCUCCUGGAACAUUACUGACGCUAAGGCGUGAAAGCGUGGGGAGCAAACAGGAUUAGAUACCCUUGUAGUC
rnacentral:rRNA from 1 species